CCUACGGGAGGCAGCAGUGGGGAAUAUUGGACAAUGGGGGCAACCCUGAUCCAGCCAUGCCGCGUGUGUGAAGAAGGCCCUCGGGUUGUAAAGCACUUUCAGUGAGGAAGAACGCCUGGUGGUUAAUACCCAUCAGGAAAGACAUCACUCACAGAAGAAGCACCGGCUAACUCCGUGCCAGCAGCCGCGGUAAUACGGGGGGUGCGAGCGUUAAUCGGAAUUACUGGGCGUAAAGCGCGCGUAGGUGGCUUGAUAAGCCGGUUGUGAAAGCCCCGGGCUCAACCUGGGAACGGCAUCCGGAACUGUCAAGCUAGAGUGCGGGAGAGGAAGGUAGAAUUCCCGGUGUAGCGGUGAAAUGCGUAGAGAUCGGGAGGAAUACCAGUGGCGAAGGCGGCCUUCUGGACUGACACUGACACUGAGGUGCGAAAGCGUGGGUAGCAAACAGGAUUAGAUACCCGUGUAGUC
rnacentral:rRNA from 1 species